AGAUGGGGGACCGCCUGGAGAGACUGGGCUGGAGGCUUUUGGAUUGCCUCUCCAUUCCCACUUUCCCCUACUAGUCACAAUGCUUCCCAACUGCCUCUUGACUCUCUAGUACCCUGUUUCCCACCCACCUGUGCCCCCCCCCCCGGUGGCCCGCUACACCCCUCCCCCCGUGGAAGUCAGUCUCGGCAUUCCCGGGCAUCAUAGCAACAUGAGGGUGCCCCAGCCCGGAAGGGCCCAGGACCUCCCAGUGGGUUUCCGUCCCAGCAGCCCGGGCGCCACAGCAGUCUGACAGCGCCCCAUCCCAGAAGCUCACCUGCACCCCUGCUGUGGAAGAAAACCUACCUAUAGGGGUACUCCCUGGCAGCCCAUGAAGCCAUAGUAGCCUGAAAGUGCUCAAGCCCAGAAAACAAUAGUUACUUCUGUGAGAUGAAUGGAAACUAUGUUCCAAUGGGAUCCAAAAUGUCCCUUCAAAAAUUCUACAAAAAGACUGCUUCCAAUCUGCUUAAUCAGAACAAAGGUUUAACUCCAUGAGAUGCAUCCAAACAUUGCAAAGCAUUUUCACAUAUAGCUUUUUUCUAGUUUUUAUCACGGGAUAUUCAUUUUUUCACUAUAGCCCCAAUUAGCUCCAAAAUGUCCAUUCAUAGAUUUUACAAAAACAGUGUUUCUAACAUGCUGAAUGAAAACAAAGGUUUAACUCUGUGAUAUGAAUCCACACAUUGGAAAGUG
rnacentral:lncRNA from 10 species